AUGGCGCUCCUGCUUUCGGUGCUGCGUGUACUGCUGGGCGGCUUCUUCGCGCUCGUGGGGUUGGCCAAGCUCUCGGAGGAGAUCUCGGCUCCAGUUUCGGAGCGGAUGAAUGCCCUGUUCGUGCAGUUUGCUGAGGUGUUCCCGCUGAAGGUAUUUGGCUACCAGCCAGAUCCCCUGAACUACCAAAUAGCUGUGGGCUUUCUGGAACUGCUGGCUGGGUUGCUGCUGGUCAUGGGCCCACCGAUGCUGCAAGAGAUCAGUAACUUGUUCUUGAUUCUGCUCAUGAUGGAGAUGAACAGCAGUGUUGGGGACCUGGGUGUUGGCGGCUGCAGCCUCUGGGAUGACCCUG
rnacentral:lncRNA from 1 species